AUUGAACGCUGGCGGCAGGCCUAACACAUGCAAGUCGAACGAGUGGCGGACGGGUGAGUAAUGUCUGGGAAACUGCCUGAUGGAGGGGGAUAACUACUGGAACCGGUAUCUAAUACCGCCUACCCUCAAAUGCGCCCAGAUGGGAUAAGCUAGUUGGUGGGGGAACGGCUCACCAAGGCGACGAUCCCUAGCUGGUCUGAGAGGAUGACCCGCCACACUGGAACUGAGACACGGUCCAGACUCCGACGGGAGGCAGCAGUGGGGAAUAUUGCACAAUGGGCGCAAGCCUGAUGCAGCCAUGCCGCGUGUAUGAAGAAGGCCUUCGGGUUGUAAAGUACUUGCAGCGGGGAGGCGUUACCCGCAGAAGAAGCACCGGCUAACUCCGUGCCAGCCGCCGCGGUAAUAC
rnacentral:rRNA from 1 species